UAGGGAAUUUUCGUCAAUGGGCGCAAGCCUGAACGAGCAAUGCCGCGUGAACGAGGAAGGUCUUCGGAUCGUAAAGUUCUGUUGAAGGGAAAAAGAGCGGAGAGAGGAAAUGGUCUCCGAUUGAUAUUACCCUUCGAGGAAGUCACGGCUAACUACGUGCC
rnacentral:rRNA from 1 species